rnacentral:rRNA from 1 species
AACGAACGCUGGCGGCAGGCCUAACACAUGCAAGUCGAGCGAGGACUUCGGUUCUAGCGGCGGACGGGUGAGUAACGCGUGGGAAUGUGCCCUUCUCUACGGAAUAGCCCUGGGAAACUGGGAGUAAUACCGUAUACGCCCUAUUGGGGAAAGAUUUAUCGGAGAAGGAUCAGCCCGCGUUGGAUUAGGUAGUUGGUGGGGUAAUGGCCUACCAAGCCGACGAUCCAUAGCUGGUUUGAGAGGAUGAUCAGCCACACUGGGACUGAGACACGGCCCAGACUCCUACGGGAGGCAGCAGUGGGGAAUCUUAGACAAUGGGGGCAACCCUGAUCUAGCCAUGCCGCGUAAGUGAUGAAGGCCUUAGGGUUGUAAAGCUCUUUCAGCUGGGAAGAUAAUGACGGUACCAGCAGAAGAAGCCCCGGCUAACUCCGUG